CUGAGUUAGGGUCCUCUGGGCCCGAACCUCCAACCCUAUGUUUAACUACUUUGUUGCUUUGGCAGGCCCGUCCUUCGGGGCCGCCGGGGGUGUUUAGUCACCUCUGGUCAGUGCUUGUCAGUAGCCAAUUUAAAUUCUUAUAACCGUGUCGUCUGAGAAAAAACACAAUAAAUUAAAACUCAUAUAUAUAAUUUGAAUGUAAUUGAUGUAACGCAUCUAUAAAC
rnacentral:misc_RNA from 1 species